GCUAGCGGCAGGCUUAACACAUGCAAGUCGAGGGGUAACAUUAGUGCUUGCACUAGAUGACGACCGGCGCACGGGUGCGUAACGCGUAUAGAAUCUACCUUUUACAGGGGGAUAGCCUUUAGAAAUGAAGAUUAAUAUCCCAUAGUAUUGCGAAGUGGCAUCACUUUGUAAUUAAAGAUUUAUCGGUAAAAGAUGACUAUGCGUCCUAUUAGUUAGUUGGUAAGGUAACGGCUUACCAAGACUUCGAUAGGUAGGGGUCCUGAGAGGGAGAUCCCCCACACUGGUACUGAGACACGGACCAGACUCCUACGGGAGGCAGCAGUGAGGAAUAUUGGGCAAUGGAGGUAACUCUGACCCAGCCAUGCCGCGUGCAGGAAGACUGCCCUAUGGGUUGUAAACUGCUUUUAUACAGGAAGAAACACUGCUACGUGUAGCAGCUUGACGGUACUGUAAGAAUAAGGACCGGCUAACUCCGUGCCAGCAGCCGCGGUAAUACGGAGGGUCCGAGCGUUAUCCGGAAUCAUUGGGUUUAAAGGGUCCGCAGGCGGUCAAUUAAGUCAGAGGUGAAAUCCCAUAGCUUAACUAUGGAACUGCCUUUGAUACUGGUUGACUUGAGUCAUAUGGAAGUAGAUAGAAUGUGUAGUGUAGCGGUGAAAUGCAUAGAUAUUACACAGAAUACCGAUUGCGAAGGCAGUCUACUACGUAUGUACUGACGCUCAUGGACGAAAGCGUGGGGAGCGAACAGGAUUAGAUACCCUGGUAGUCCACGCCGUAAACGAUGGACACUAGUUGUUGGGCAUUAGCUCAGUGACUAAGCGAAAGUGAUAAGUGUCCCACC
rnacentral:rRNA from 1 species